UACGUAGGGUGCGAGCGUUAAUCGGAAUUACUGGGCGUAAAGCGUGCGCAGGCGGUUCGUUAAGUUCGAUGUGAAAGCCCCGGGCUCAACCUGGGAAUGGCAUUGGAAACUGGCGGACUCGAGUGUGGCAGAGGGGGGUGGAAUUCCGCGUGUAGCAGUGAAAUGCGUAGAGAUGCGGAGGAACACCAGUGGCGAAAGCGGCUUUCUGGUCCUUAACUGACGCUGAGGCGCGAAAGCAUGGGGAGCGAACGGG
rnacentral:rRNA from 1 species